rnacentral:rRNA from 1 species
AGUCAAGUAAUUAAGUGCAUGUGGUGGAUGCCUUGGCAGUCAGAGGCGAUGAAAGACGUGAUAGCCUGCGAAAAGCUCCGGGGAGGCGGCAAAUAUCCUUUGAUCCGGAGAUGUCUGAAUGGGGGAACCCACCUACUUUAAGGUAGGUAUUGCAACAUGAAUACAUAGUGUUGCAAGGCGAACGAGGGGAAGUGAAACAUCUCAGUACCCUUAGGAAAAGAAAUCAAUUGAGAUUCCCUCAGUAGCGGCGAGCGAACGGGGAUCAGCCCAUUAAGUUAUGUGUGUUUUAGUGGAACGCUCUUGGGAAGUGCGAACGUAGAGGGUGAUAUUCCCGUACACGAAAGGGCACACAUAAUGAUGACGAGUAGGGCGAGGCACGUGAAACCUUGUCUGAAUAUGGGGGGACCAUCCUCCAAGGCUAAAUACUCCUGACUGACCGAUAGUGAACCAGUACCGUGAGGGAAAGGCGAAAAGAACCCCUGUGAGGGGAGUGAAAUAGAUCCUGAAACCGCAUGCAUACAAGCAGUGGGAGCACCUUCGUGGUGUGACUGCGUACCUUUUGUAUAAUGGGUCAGCGACUUAUAUUCAGUAGCGAGGUUAACCGUAUAGGGGAGCCGUAGAGAAAUCGAGUCUUAAUAGGGCGUUUAGUUGCUGGGUAUAGACCCGAAACCAGGCGAUCUAUCCAUGAGCAGGUUGAAGGUUGGGUAACACUAACUGGAGGACCGAACCCACUGUCGUUGAAAAGCCAGGGGAUGACUUGUGGAUAGGGGUGAAAGGCUAAUCAAGCCUGGUGAUAGCUGGUUCUCCCCGAAAGCUAUUUAGGUAGCGCCUCGGACGAAUACCAUAGGGGGUAGAGCACUGUUUCGGCUAGGGGGUCAUCCCGACUUACCAAACCGAUGCAAACUCCGAAUACCUAUGAGUACUAUCCGGGAGACAGACUGCGGGUGCUAACGUCCGUAGUCAAGAGGAAAACAAUCCAGACCGCCAGCUAAGGCCCCAAAAUCAUAGUUAAGUGGGAAACGAUGUGGGAAGGCAUAGACAGCUAGGAGGUUGGCUUAGAAGCAGCCACCCUUUAAAGAAAGCGUAAUAGCUCACUAGUCGAGUCGGCCUGCGCGGAAGAUGUAACGGGGCUAAAACUAUGUGCCGAAGCUGCGGAUGUAUACUUUGUAUACGUGGUAGGGGAGCGUUCUGUAAGCCGAUGAAGGUGUGUUGAGAAGCAUGCUGGAGGUAUCAGAAGUGCGAAUGCUGACGUGAGUAACGACAAAACGGGUGAAAAACCCGUUCGCCGAAAGACCAAGGGUUCCAGUCCAACGUUAAUCGGGGCUGGGUGAGUCGACCCCUAAGGCGAGGCCGAAAGGCGUAGUCGAUGGGAAAAUGGUUAAUAUUCCAUUACUUCUGUGUAAUGCGAUGAGAGGACGGAGAAGGCUAAAUCAGCCUGGCGUUGGUUGUCCAGGUGAAAGGAUGUAGGCAUGUAUCUUAGGCAAAUCCGGGGUACUCUAUGCUGAGAUCUGAUAGCAAGCUGUACUUGUACAGCGAAGUGGUUGAUGCCAUGCUUCCAGGAAAAGUCUCUAAGCUUCAGUUACACAGGAAUCGUACCCGAAACCGACACAGGUGGUCAGGUCGAGUAGACCAAGGCGCUUGAGAGAACUCUGCUGAAGGAACUAGGCAAAAUGGUACCGUAACUUCGGGAGAAGGUACGCUGUUGUUGGUGAUGGAACUCGCUUCCUGAGCUGACGACAGCCGCAGAAACCAGGCCGCUGCAACUGUUUAUUAAAAACAUAGCACUCUGCAAACACGAAAGUGGACGUAUAGGGUGUGAUGCCUGCCCGGUGCUGGAAGGUUAAUUGAUGGGGUUAGCGUAAGCGAAGCUCUUGAUCGAAGCCCCAGUAAACGGCGGCCGUAACUAUAACGGUCCUAAGGUAGCGAAAUUCCUUGUCGGGUAAGUUCCGACCUGCACGAAUGGCAUAAUGAUGGCGGCGCUGUCUCCAGCAGAGGCUCAGUGAAAUCGAAAUCGCUGUGAAGAUGCAGUGUACCCGCGGCUAGACGGAAAGACCCCGUGAACCUUUACUGCAGCUUGACACUGAACUUUGACCUUACUUGUGUAGGAUAGGUGGGAGGCUUUGAAGCUGGAACGCUAGUUCCAGUGGAGCCGUCCUUGAAAUACCACCCUGGUAAUGUUGAGGUUCUAACUCUGUCCCGUGAUCCGGGACGAGGACCGUGUCUGGUGGGUAGUUUGACUGGGGCGGUCUCCUCCUAAAGAGUAACGGAGGAGUACGAAGGUGCGCUCAGCGUGGUCGGAAAUCACGCGUAGAGUAUAAAGGCAAAAGCGCGCUUAACUGCGAGACCCACAAGUCGAGCAGGUACGAAAGUAGGUCUUAGUGAUCCGGUGGUUCUGUAUGGAAGGGCCAUCGCUCAACGGAUAAAAGGUACUCUGGGGAUAACAAGCUGAUACCGCCCAAGAGUUCAUAUCGACGGCGGUGUUUGGCACCUCGAUGUCGGCUCAUCUCAUCCUGGGGCUGAAGCAGGUCCCAAGGGUAUGGCUGUUCGCCAUUUAAAGAGGUACGCGAGCUGGGUUUAGAACGUCGUGAGACAGUUCGGUCCCUAUCUACCGUGGGCGCUGGAAAUUUGAGAGGAUCUGCUCCUAGUACGAGAGGACCAGAGUGGACGAACCUCUGGUGUACCGGUUGUGACGCCAGUCGCAUCGCCGGGUAGCUAUGUUCGGAAGGGAUAACCGCUGAAAGCAUCUAAGCGGGAAGCCUACCUCAAGAUAAGAUUUCCCUAGGACUUUAUGUCCUCUAAAGAGCCGUUCGAGACUAGGACGUUGAUAGGUUGGAUGUGGAAGCAUAGUGAUAUGUGAAGCUGACCAAUACUAAUUGCUCGUGAGGCUUGACUAUACAACACCC